UCUACACAGUCUCUCAAACUUCUGGAGUACACACAUCUUUAACACAGAGAAGAUGAGAAAGAAAAGUCUUUUUGAGGCUAAUCUUUGAGAUUGUGGCAAAAUACAAAUAAAAUUCCUUGAACAAAACAAAAAUUAUUUCCUAACUGCAGAAUCAAGAAGGAUGUAUUCCAGCUUCACCAAUCAAGAACAGUUCUUCAUCAAAGUUCCUUUGUAGAUCAGAAUGAGGAUGUCUUGGUGAUCUGAUGACCACAAAACAGACUGUAAUUGUCCACUCGCCUUCUCAUCUCUGACAGAUGCCCUCAGUCUCUAAGUUCCUCCUCCCAAGAGAACGUCAGUCAAUAUUAUCUUUGAGUCUCACAGCAGCUGAACAAUCUGUCAGGAUCAAAACAAGAGAGAGCAACUUUAGGGAUUGAACUCAGCUAUAAGAAAAAGAAUACAGGUCAGAAUGAGAACAGCAGGAACAUAUUCGAUUAAUGUUUGACUCGAGGAACAGGAUCCAAAAUACAGGAGAGGUUUAUGGCAAGAAGCUUCAAUCGCAUACUUAUGUCACCAUGAUGACGUCACUGGAAGAUCUGCAUUCCUGACAUACUAGACAGUGAUGAUGAACUACACAGUGUAUUGAGAUAAAAUGAGAGCAGGAGUUCAGAAAAUUACACUGUUUAAAUUUGUGAUACUAUAAGAACUAUGGAAAGAUCUACCUGCAAGUAGACAGUAUACUGUGAAAAAUGUUACAUUUACACUUGUAUAAAGAAAAAAAAAACAUUUUGAAAAAAAAAACAAAUAAAAUGCACUGUACUUUAUAUUUACAUUAACUGAAUAAGAUACAAGACGAGAACCUUACUGAAUAAAUAUGUAUGUAACAAUCACGUGACUUCAGUAUUCACUGGGAUAUUUGAAGUGUUAAAUGUUUAGUGCAUUAAAUGUCUCUUCAGAUUGAAGAUUAUUCUAGCCUGUAAUGUUUCCAUUUAUGAGCAUGUGAAGGCAAGCAGAGAUGAGGAUCUAUCUGUGAGGUGGAAAACAAGCAAAACAAAUACAAAAGAACAAGGAACAAAAGAGCACAGAGAACCAAUGAACAAGACACACCUGUAAACAAUGAAGAAUAGUCAGCAGGAAGAACUACAAAGAACUACAAACAUGGCACAGAAAACAGGAAGUAUAACAAAAGUCCUAAAGCAACACAAAGAACAAAUAACGCUGUAAGAUGGGUGGUUAUUCUGACUUAUCAAAUGUGUUUUGUCAUUUUAUAACACCCCACCUGAUCUCCACCCUUAUUGUAAUUUUAUUUAUUUAUUUAUUUAUUUAUUUAUUUAUCUAUUUAUUUAUUUAUUUUUAAACCUGAUAAAAACCUCAGUGACACCAUGAUGAUGAGCUGAUCUGUG